UUCAGGUAUGAUUUUGAAUUUAGAUCAUGUGAAGAGGCUUCAGGUAUGGUAAUCAAGCAUCACGCAUCACUCAUCUUCAUCUUCACCUAUAAUACAUGAUUUGGGGAAAAAAACGUCCGUCGCCCCUUGAUAAUCAUGGUGGUUGGAAACGACAAUCUUCAGUCAUCUCCACCCACUCGCUCCGUAAACGGCGAUCUUCUGUUCUCUGGUGACAACGCAAUUUGAUUAGGUGUUGCUUUUGAUUACUUGGAAUUAGCUCUUCAGAAGUCUGAAGGUUCAUUCUUCUUCUUGAAGAUCUCAGUUUAGUGAGUAAAGGCAAGAUUGGAAUUUGUCAUCUGAUACCGAUAAAUAAGAAUUAUAUUACAUGCUUCUUAUGAUUAUUGAUGUAUUUUAUAGUACUAACACCCUGGUAUUUGGCUAGAAAAAUUGAACAUUUCUUUUCC
rnacentral:lncRNA from 1 species